rnacentral:sRNA from 1 species
CAAAAGCGACGCUAGGGUUCCGGCCUGCCGCCACGGCAGGUGCUGGUCCGAGAGCGGCGGACCUCCCGAGCAAGGGGGGUUACACGGCGGGACAAAAGCCCGGGAGGC